rnacentral:rRNA from 1 species
CCUCUCGACUUAUAUGAGAGGUCCAGCCUGCCCAGUGACUAAAUUCAACGGCCGCGGUAUCCUAACCGUGCGAAGGUAGCGUAAUCACUUGUUCUUUAAAUGAGGACUAGUAUGAAUGGCCCCACGAGGGUUACACUGUCUCCUUUUUUUAAUCAAUGAAACUGAUCUCCCCGUGAAGAAGCGGGGAUACUUAUAUAAGACGAGAAGACCCUAUGGAGCUUUAAACAUCUAUAGCACUGGCCCACACUUCAUGUCCUUCUGAGAUUUAACCAUUAUAUAGGCCAGCAUAACUAUUAGUUUUAGGUUGGGGUGACCGCGGAGCAAAAAUUAACCUCCACGUUGAACGGAACUUAUCCUGAGCUAAAAGCUACGACUUUAAGCACCAACAAACUGACAUCAAUUGACCCAACAUGUUGAUCAACGAACCAAGUUACCCUAGGGAUAACAGCGCAAUCCAUUUCAAGAGCCCCUAUCGACAAAUGGGUUUACGACCUCGAUGUUGGAUCAGGGUAUCCCAGUGGUGCAGCCGCUACUAAAGGUUCGUUUGUUCAACGAUU